GAUGUAUAAGGUGCUAAACAUGCAAGUCACUGAUUCAGUUAUAGCACUCUCUGACCACAGGUGUCUUGAUACAAGCAUGAAUAAUAGAUUUAAUGCACCAUACACAUCAAACAAGGUGCUGAUAGAUAAGCCGGUACAUGAACCCUGUAUUUUCUUCAUUAAUAUAUAAUGCACCCUGUAUUUUCUUCAAUAAUAUAUAAUGCAACGUUAAUGCAUAAGUUUCUUUUUACACACUUUAAUCUUCUAUGUGUUGCUAGUAAACACGUCUUGGUACCCUC
rnacentral:lncRNA from 1 species